rnacentral:rRNA from 1 species
GGACGAACGCUGGCGGCGUGCCUAACACAUGCAAGUCGAACGAGAAUCUGUGGAAAGAGGCUUCGGCCAAUGGAAGCAGAGGACAGUGGCGAACGGGUGAGUAACGCGUGAGCAACCUGCCUUUCAGAGGGGGACAACAGCUGGAAACGGCUGCUAAUACCGCAUAAUGUAUAUUAAGGGCAUCCUUGAUAUACCAAAGAUUUAUCGCUGAAAGAUGGGCUCGCGUCUGAUUAGAUAGUUGGUGGGGUAACGGCCUACCAAGUCGACGAUCAGUAGCCGGGUUGAGAGACUGACCGGCCACAUUGGGACUGAGAUACGGCCCAGACUCCUACGGGAGGCAGCAGUGGGGAAUAUUGGGCAAUGGGGGAAACCCUGACCCAGCAACGCCGCGUGAAGGAAGAAGGCUUUCGGGUUGUAAACUUCUUUUACCAGGGACGAAGAAAGUGACGGUACCUGGAGAAAAAGCUCCGGCUAACUACGUG